rnacentral:lncRNA from 1 species
GGGGCAUAGGAUGUGAUGCCGCCGUGAUUGCGGACUGCUAGGGUUGUCAGUUGUUAAGACUGUCGGCCCUUGUCGACUCGUGCCAAUUGUCUUGUCUGGCCGAUGACUCCUCGGUCGAUCGGCUCUUUGGCUGGGGGAGAGGAGUUCACGUUAGAUAAUUGGCUACUCGGCUGUGGCCGAGGUAGUUCUCUUCAGCUUAUAUCCGAGGAGAUCUAGUCUGAGGUCGAGGUACCCAAUAUUUCUUCCAUCAUUUGCUCUCCACUUCUUAGUCCGACUUGCACUUUGGUUCAGGCGAUGGAAGUCAUGUGGUUACCUCAAUCGAGGGCGACACCUUUGUUAGAGGUGUUGAGUGCGUCGUUUGGUCUUCCUGAAGCAUCGU